rnacentral:rRNA from 1 species
GUUGCGCGAGAUCACUCCAACCCCUGUGACAUACCUAUACGUUGCCUCGGCGGAUCAGCCCGCGCCCCGUAAAAAGGGACGGCCCGCCCGAGGACCCCUAAACUCUGUUUUUAGUGGAACUUCUGAGUAAAACAAACAAAUAAAUCAAAACUUUCAACAACGGAUCUCUUGGUUCUGGCAUCGAUGAAGAACGCAGCAAAAUGCGAUAAGUAAUGUGAAUUGCAGAAUUCAGUGAAUCAUCGAAUCUUUGAACGCACAUUGCGCCCGCCAGUAUUCUGGCGGGCAUGCCUGUUCGAGCGUCAUUUCAACCCUCAAGCUCAGCUUGGUGUUGGGACUCGCGGUAACCCGCGUUCCCCAAAUCGAUUGGCGGUCACGUCGAGCUUCCAUAGCGUAGUAAUCAUACACCUCGUUACUGGUAAUCGUCGCGGCCACGCCGUAAAACCCCAACUUCUGAAUGUUGACCUCGGAUCAGGUAGGAAUACCCGCUGAACUUAAGCAUAUCAAUAAGCCGGAGGAAA